rnacentral:rRNA from 1 species
CCUACGGGGGGCUGCAGUGGGGAAUAUUGGACAAUGGGGGCAACCCUGAUCCAGCAAUGCCGCGUGUGUGAAGAAGGCCUUCGGGUUGUAAAGCACUUUUAGCAGGAAAGAAAGGUUGCGCGUUAAUAUCGUGCGGCUUUGACGUUACUUGCAGAAAAAGCACCGGCUAACUCCGUGCCAGCAGCCGCGGUAAUACGGAGGGUGCAAGCGUUAAUCGGAAUUACUGGGCGUAAAGUGCGCGUAGGCGGCUGAAAUCCCCGAGCUCAACUUGGGAACUGCAUUCGUUACUGGUUCGCUAGAGGGUGGUAGAGGGAAGUGGAAUUCCAGGUGUAGCGGUGAAAUGCGUAGAUAUCUGGGGGAACAUCAGUGGCGAAGGCGGCUUCCUGGACCAACACUGACGCUGAGGCGCGAAAGCGUGGGGAGCAAACAGGAUUAGAUACCCGGGUAGUC